GGAGCGAGGGAUGCAACAUGGUGCUUCUGGGAGGCCUGCUAACUGGCUAACUUCUCCGGCGUUCCUCCCGGCCGAGGCGUGGGCACAGAAUAGCGCAGUUUGAAGACAUCAUUUUCCAGUUUUGGAGCCGACUAAUGAACUAGUUCUUAAGUGAAAGGCAUUUAACACGACUGUGCAUCUACAGGUACUAGGUUUCCAAGAUGCCUUUCCAGACUAAAACCCACACAUGUGAGCCGCUGGCCGGACAAACAUCUGGCACCUAACGUGGGGCUGAAAAACAGCAGAGGACAUUUGGAAGAAACACUGCUGGUUUGGAGCUCCAUAGAAGAAGAAAAUAAUUAAAGGAAAUUCAUACCAGAGAAGGUCAGUAUGGGCUAAGCUGAAACAGCGUUUAACCUGAGCGCUAAUUCGCUUAGGUUCAGCAGUGAGGCAUCUCAGGAGCUAGGAACGUAACAGGCGGUUAGCCAUAGCUCCCAGAAGCUACAUUUUUAGGCGUGAGAAAAGAAAGGGUUUAUUAAAAGGAAAUUAAUAAUAAGGCGGACUGCAUCAUGCGGGAGGAAAAUGUCCCAAAAAGCAGAGAGAAAUUUCCGGAGUGCCAUGCUUUGUUCUCUCUGGGCUUUACAGCAGAAAUACUCUGCCCCUUUUGUGUCUUGUCUAAUGUCUGGUGCACUGAAAGACCCACAACAUGAGGACUCCCCCACGUUCUGACUCAGGAGAGGCGACACCCCAAACCACUCACAAGAAACGGUCUUGCUGCAAACUGCAAGAGGAUUUUUAUUCAAGAGCGCUCUCAGGCCCACGGUCAUACACCACACAGGGGUAGAGGACUUUCGCGUCCUGAGUUGCUGGGAAAGGGGGUAUUUAAAGGAAGAAACCACAACUCAAGGAAGUGGGGAGGGCGUUGUUGGAAAAUACAAAGAUACCAGUUAAGAGUCCCAAGGAAGUGCAAACUCACAAGAGUCACAAGGAAUACCUGGAAAUUUUGCAGGUUAUCUCUCAAGACAGUUUCUAAGAGGCCCUAACAAUAGCACAUUUGCAUAGUGGGUUCCGCCAAUGGUCAGGGUGACUUUCUUUGAAUGAACACUCUUUGAACCCAGGAAGCAGGUGGGUAGAGGAAUGUCACUAUCUGUUUUAUGAUUAGCAUACCUUGGAGCAUUAAGUCACAGAGGUCACAUUCCCAAGCCUGGGCCUAAAGGCCUAGAAUUUUGUUUUUAUGUUAUACUUUCAGCACCAAUCUGUUCACAUGUUCAAUUCAUGUAUGUUUGUGUCCAGUCUGUAUGAAUGAAUGUUCUAUGUUUUAUGUUGGAUAAUAAAGAUGGCAAAAAAAAUAAAAAACUUUAUCUGCAAAGCCGAGAGCUGCCACGUGCUACAACCAGGAAACAGACACAUGGCAGGAGGGCCCCUGCUGAAAAAACUGUUAUAGGAAAAAAGGGCGAGUCUACAGCCUCUCAGUUUCGGGGUAAAAAAAGCUGAUGAAUGUUUUUUUCCUGGAGGGUUCUCUACAAUCGUGAUUAAUAUGUUUGGCAAAUGAUAAAGUGCUUUUUAUUCCAUGAUUGUAGCUAGAAAAAUUAAUAUUCUCUGAUUGGUCUAAAUGUAACUGCUUCAUUUGGUUUUUUUAUUGGUAAUGUGCUCUGCGUGUUUUCACUAUCAGCUCAUAAGUUAUGGGUUAAGAUUAAUAAUUGUUACAUUGCUACAGAUGGUUAGUCUUAAAAUUGAUAACUCAAGUUUAAUGUCUUUCCAACACAUGGCAUAAGGCAGGCCGAGAGGCUGGGUCUCUAAAGAUAUUUCUAGUUAAGAUAAUAAUUAAUGUGGUUCCUAUCCNNNNNNNNNNNNNNNNNNNNNNNNNNNNNNNNNNNNNNNNNNNNNNNNNNNNNNNNNNNNNNNNNNNNNNNNNNNNAAAAGAAACUUAAUAAUUCUUUACAGAUCUAGCCAGAUGCUGUUUUAAUGAAGUUCAAGUUCAUAGUUUGUAAAGAGUCAAUCAGACCGUAAAAUUUAUCAAGGCAUUACAGUCUGGUUUGCCUACCUUUUAUAUAGUUAUUUUAAAUCCGAAGGUUUGUUUCUUUUUCUCUCUCCUUUGCAUCUUAAUGAUUGUAAAGGUUUGGCCUCUAGUGAGUUUGUAAUAACCUAAAUAUUUUGCCUCUAAUAUGGCUAAAUAUUGAUCUACAUUAUGUAAAAAUUUUUUAUCAUUUCUGCUUCUAUACAAGAAGCCAAAAUUUUUUAAUCUUUCAAUGUAUAUUUUUUCCUAAGUGAAAAAUGUUUUAUUAACUAAUGCUUCUCAAGGGAAGUUUACUUUAAAUCUUUGCUCUCACCCAAAAGAUUCAGAGACAAUAUCCUUUUAUUACUUAGGGUUUUAGUUUACUACAAAAGGUUUUACAAAAAAUAAAGAAAGCUUUUAUAGUUGUUGUUAACUAUAUUCAUUGGCAAUUAAAUAUUAGCUGUGCCCAAGACAAUUCCUUGGCCAGAAAAAACAUUGUAAAGUCAUUUUUCUGAUCCUUCCAGCCGAUCCUUGGCCCAUGUGAGCCCAGCUAGCUGCUGGCUGCUGUGGGGCGGGGCCUUGAGACACACAGUUUCCCCCUGUUUCAGCACAAAUAAUCUAGUUGUGUGCUGUAGAUGGUGUUUUAAAAUACUGAACAAUCAAUCCUUAAUUUGUAUAUUGAUAGUCAAUGCUAUAUCUCAGAGCUCACAAUUGCUUAAGAUUGUCCGUCCCUCAGAUACUAUUAAUUCUCAAAUUUGCAAUUGCUUAUGCAUAUAUAACUCAUAGAAAAAAAUGCUGUCCUUUUAAGAAGACGGUUUUUAGACAUUUAUUAAAUUGUCCUAAUUGCCUGGACAUUUUAAAACAAUGCCAGGAUAAAUUUAUAUCUCAGACAGUCUAUAGAUCGUCCAUAUAAAAUAGAUUGGAUAUAUAACCUUGUUCUUUAUAUAUUCAUAACAGUUAUGGUUUAAGAUAAUGUUUUAGUAUUCUUAAAAAUUGUGCAUGUAUAAUUCUUUCUUUUUAGUGUCCUCAGUUAUUACUUGUUUCCACAUAAUAGUGUUAAUUCUUGAGGACUUUUACUUAAUAAUUUGCGACAAAUAAAUGCUCUUAUUUCUAGUUAAUAAAUUAUGCACAUGUGACUCUUAAUAACUUUUCAAGCUUUCUAGUUACAACCGAUCCUUAAGAAAAAUGAUUUCCCCCAAGCCAAGGUUAAAGCCCACUCAUCUACGGAUGAGAAAAUCAUUUGAUCACCUCAGUUAAGUGUGGCCUUAUUAUACUUAAUUAAUAGGGGGGGAGAGAGGUUGGAGACCGUACUGUUAGAAGGGCAAGCCCUUCACAGCCUCCCACCCUAAAAAGCCAAUUGGCCUUGUACUAAGGACCUGGUCGUCAUCCCCUCCUCCCUGCCUGUCAUCCAAGAAUGCAGAGGAAUAUCCACUUACUCUCCUUCAAUGUUAUUCAUAAUAUAGUGCCUUUCAAAUUCUUACCGUCAGCUUUCCGCCCUGUAGCUGACUACUUAAAAUUCAACUAGGAAGUUACCUAUUCAGUACUAAUUAGCAUUAUAAAGUCAGAGCCUAUAGCUCAGGGCUAAUCUGCUACUUGUUUAUUAGGACAGAAAGGACAGUCUUAUCCAGAUACAGUAUACC
ensembl:lincRNA